AACGAACGCUGGCGGCAUGCCUAACACAUGCAAGUCGAACGAAGUCUUCGGACUUAGUGGCGCACGGGUGCGUAACGCGUGGGAAUCUGCCCUUGGGUACGGAAUAACUCAGAGAAAUUUGUGCUAAUACCGUAUAAUGUCUUCGGACCAAAGAUUUAUCGCCCAAGGAUGAGCCCGCGUAAGAUUAGCUAGUUGGUGGGGUAAAAGCCUACCAAGGCGACGAUCUUUAGCUGGUCUGAGAGGAUGAUCAGCCACACUGGGACUGAGACACGGCCCAGACUCCUACGGGAGGCAGCAGAGGGGAAUAUUGGACAAUGGGCGAAAGCAUGAUCCAGCAAUGCCGCGUGAGUGAUGAAGGCCCGAGGGUUGUAAAGCUCUUUUACCAGGGAUGAUAAUGACAGUACCUGGAGAAUAAGCUCCGGCUAACUCCGUG
rnacentral:rRNA from 1 species